rnacentral:rRNA from 1 species
CACAUGCAAGUCGAGGGGAACGACAUCGAAAGCUUGCUUUUGAUGGGCGUCGACCGGCGCACGGGUGAGUAACGCGUAUCCAACCUGCCCACCACUUGGGGAUAACCUUGCGAAAGUAAGACUAAUACCCAAUGACGUCUCUAGAAGACAUCUGAAGGAGAUUAAAGAUUUAUCGGUGAUGGAUGGGGAUGCGUCUGAUUAGCUUGUUGGCGGGGUAACGGCCCACCAAGGCGACGAUCAGUAGGGGUUCUGAGAGGAAGGUCCCCCACAUUGGAACUGAGACACGGUCCAAACUCCUACGGGAGGCAGCAGUGAGGAAUAUUGGUCAAUGGACGAGAGUCUGAACCAGCCAAGUAGCGUGCAGGAUGACGGCCCUAUGGGUUGUAAACUGCUUUUAUAAGGGAAUAAAGUGAGAGUCGUGACUCUUUUUGCAUGUACCUUAUGAAUAAGGACCGGCUAAUUCCGUGCCAGCAGCCGCGGUAAUACGGAAGGUCCGGGCGUUAUCCGGAUUUAUUGGGUUUAAAGGGAGCGUAGGCCGGAGAUUAAGCGUGUUGUGAAAUGUAGAUGCUCAACAUCUGAACUGCAGCGCGAACUGGUUUCCUUGAGUACGCACAAAGUGGGCGGAAUUCGUGGUGUAGCGGUGAAAUGCUUAGAUAUCACGAAGAACUCCGAUUGCGAAGGCAGCUCACUGGAGCGCAACUGACGCUGAAGCUCGAAAGUGCGGGUAUCGAACAGGAUUAGAUACCCUGGUAGUCCGCACGGUAAACGAUGGAUGCCCGCUGUUGGUCUGAAUAGGUCAGCGGCCAAGCGAAAGCAUUAAGCAUCCCACCUGGGGAGUACGCCGGCAACGGUGAAACUCAAAGGAAUUGACGGGGGCCCGCACAAGCGGAGGAACAUGUGGUUUAAUUCGAUGAUACGCGAGGAA